CUGUGUCGAGGUGGAAGGAGAUGCGGGCCUCGGCGAGGUAGGGGGUGUCGCUCUUGGAGCGCACUCUGCGGAUGGGCCGCCGGUCGAUGUCCUCCUCGGAAGAUGCCGCCAUUAAUGUGGGCACGGUAUAGGAACACAAGCAGCUUCUUUUCCUCCUUCAAGCUCCAAGUUGGUCAUAGCUUAUUCCUGUGAUGGCUCCACAUUCACAACUCGCAAGACUUCAAUGGAUCUCAUAACAAAUGAGAAUGAAUUGUCCGGCUAUAGAAAUAAGGGGGGAAAAAGCCGUAUUUGGUUUAGCUUGAAAAAUUAGAUAUGGUGUAUGACUAAAUUAAACACUUUCCCUAACCAAAGGGAUAUUAGUUGGAGAGUAUCUAUAGCAACUCUCCAUUGUACAUGACAGAUUCCUUUAGCCAAAUGCUGGCACUGCUGAAAUCAAUCCAUGUUUUACACCUGUCUUCUGUAGGCCCAGUGUUUGACCGCAUGUGAAUAAAGCACACUGGGAGACAUUAA